rnacentral:tRNA from 2 species
GGCCCAGUAACACCGGCCACCACCUGCAGAGACAGUGAUUCCAGCCUGCGACUCUCUUGGUCGCAGGUUCGAAUCCUGCCGGGGGCA